UGAGGAAUUUUCCGCAAUGGGCGAAAGCCUGACGGAGCAGUAUCGCGUGAAGGAAGAAGGCCUGUGGGUUGUAAACUUCUUUUUUUAGGGAGGAAAUUUGACGUGUACCUAAAGAAUAAGCAUCGGCUAACUCUGUGCCAGCAGCCGCGGUAAUACAGAGGAUGCAAGUGUUAUCCGGAAUUACUGGGCGUAAAGCGUCUGUAGGUAGUUUAAUAAGUCAAAUAUUAAAUCUUGAAGCUCAACUUUAAAAUCGUAUUUGAAACUAUUAAACUUGAAUAUUUUAAAGGUAAAGGGAAUUUCCAACGGAGUGGUGAAAUGCGUAGAUAUUGGAAGGAACAUCAAUGGCGAAAGCACUUAACUAGGUAAUUAUUGACACUGAGAGACGAAAGCUAAGGGAGCAAAUGGG
rnacentral:rRNA from 1 species